UACGUUCUAUACGUACGAUCCAAUAUUGUUGUCAACAGUGCCCGCGUACGCUUGCACCCUUUCGGCUGUCUAUUCUCGGAAAUGACCGAAUGUCGCAACGGGUCCAAAAAGUGUCGAACGCCUGGCGGCUGCCCCCUGGACCGCUUUCCUUUUCGUUUUGGUAAUGACUUGAGUUACAGAUCCCAUGCGAAUUAGGGAAAAUCACCUUCCUUGGCGACUGCAAAUCACCGAAUUUCCUGGACUCACAGAUGCAUCUUUUCUUAGAAUAUCUUUCCUUUCUAUAACUACAAGUAGAAAUAUGAUAAAAAUGUGCUUAUUACUGUAUUAAAGAAAUACCAAUACCAAUACCAAAUAAAACAUCCUAAAAUAUU